rnacentral:rRNA from 1 species
AACGAACGCUGGCGGCAUGCCUAACACAUGCAAGUCGAACGAGACCUUCGGGUCUAGUGGCGCACGGGUGCGUAACGCGUGGGAACCUGCCCUUAGGUUCGGAAUAACUCCCCGAAAGGGGUGCUAAUACCGGAUAAUGUCUUCGGACCAAAGAUUUAUCGCCUUUGGAUGGGCCCGCGUUGGAUUAGCUAGUUGGUAGGGUAAAAGCCUACCAAGGCGACGAUCCAUAGCUGGUCUGAGAGGAUGAUCAGCCACACUGGGACUGAGACACGGCCCAGAAUCCUACGGGAGGGAGCAGUGGGGAAUAUUGGAAAAUGGGCGAAAGCAUGAUCCAGCAAUGACGCGUGAGUGAUGAAGGCCUUAGGGUUGUAAAGCUCUUUUACCCGGGAUGAUAAUGACAGUACCGGGAGAAUAAGCUCCGGCUAACUCCGUG